AGCCUGUGAUGCAAAAGGACCCAUGAAACUGAAUUACACUGAAUUAAUUCCAAACAAAUCACCAUCUUUCGGGCUGAGGUU
rnacentral:snoRNA from 2 species